UGGGGAAUAUUGGACAAUGGGCGCAAGCCUGAUCCAGCCAUGCCGCGUGUGUGAAGAAGGCCUUAUGGUUGUAAAGCACUUUAAGCGAGGAGGAGGCUACUCUAGUUAAUACCUAGAGAUAGUGGACGUUACUCGCAGAAUAAGCACCGGCUAACUCUGUGCCAGCAGCCGCGGUAAUACAGAGGGUGCAAGCGUUAAUCGGAUUUACUGGGCGUAAAGCGCGCGUAGGCGGCUAAUUAAGUCAAAUGUGAAAUCCCCGAGCUUAACUUGGGAAUUGCAUUCGAUACUGGUUAGCUAGAGUGUGGGAGAGGAUGGUAGAAUUCCAGGUGUAGCGGUGAAAUGCGUAGAGAUCUGGAGGAAUACCGAUGGCGAAGGCAGCCAUCUGGCCUAACACUGACGCUGAGGUGCGAAAGCAUGGGGAGCAAACA
rnacentral:rRNA from 1 species